AGUUGAAAGGACAGUCUCAGAAACCAGGGGAGCCUUUCCACAAGCAGCAGCUGUUCCUGCUGUUGGGUGUGUGUGUAAGAACAGAAAAUGAUCUGAGAAUGUUCUCAGUGCCUGCAUCCUUUCCCUGGGAGCACGUCCGAGCCCUGAGCAGGCUGUAGCCUUUCCUGCUGCACACCUGAGCCUUUGCCUUGGACAUUCCUGUGCCCUGUGCAACAUCAGAAUGAGGGCAUUACAAGAAUGGUAUUUUGUCCCUAAAUGCCACACGUUGGACUCGAUGAUCACGGAGUUUUCCAGCCUGAGCAAUGCUGGGAUUCUGUGAGCACAUCUCAGCUCAUCUGCAAAGGCCCCCUGGAGCACGGCAGGACCAUCACUUCUGCAGCUUGUGAGGCAGGUGUGCCUGGGUGGGGCUGAGCCAAACUCUCCAGGCUCCACAGGGCCCUUGGGGCUAAGUGGUACCACACCAGCAGCCAGGGAUGGAUCCUGCAUCCUACACAGCAGUCCUGGCUGCAGGAAAACCUGUCCACUUCAUUGUGGCUAUUUUACUGUUAGGUCAGAUUCUGCUGUCUACAGAAAUCUGGCACACAGUGAAUGUCCAGAGGUUCUGGAGGACGACCUCAGCAUGUUUAUCUGUGUUGGGCCAAGUGGAGUGACCAUAUUUUGAUAAGUUUUGCAAGUGUUUAUGUUAUGCUAAUUUCUAUUUGAUGAGGCUGUAUACAGGGUGGAUACAGAACCACAGAUGGAUAAAACCCAAGAUAAGCAUACACCCCAGAAAUCAUUAUUAGAUUCCAGAUAGAGUAAACUAUCCAAAGUCCUGAACAGAAAAUAAAAAUUUAUUGACUGUUAAUGUGAUUCAUGGAACAGCUGUUUGCCAGUCACAUUUGGCAUUCCUGUGAGAUGAGAUCUCAUUUAAUAUUAAUGGUGCUAUAAAAGCCUGAAAAAAAUAAAUGCAUAGCCUUGA